CUAGUGGACCCUUUCACAACAGCACUGUUUUGUCAUUUUGCACCCAGAUUUCCGUUGGCUAACCUCAGCCUUAUCUUCCUCAUUUCUGUUUCCUCUUGAAGACACCAAGGGCCCUUCAAAACACACGAUGUUCCAGCUCACGGCAUAAAGCCCAGUUCCCUCUGGCCCUGCAGGUUGGCUCAUCACCAGGGAACCUGUGACUCCUCUGAGACCAAGGCACCACUCCAGUAACAGCUCCAAGGACUGAGCUAAAGUACCAGUGGACUACUUUUGGGAGGCCCUGGCAUGUUCAUUGAACACUUUUAUAACAACUCUGCCAGGACCACAUCUCCCAAGAAGAUCUUGCCUCCCCAUUGAAGCCCCUGGCCCGGCCUCCUGCAGUGCCACGCUCCGUGUAUUUGACAAGCUGAGUUGGACACUCCAUGUGGUAGAGUGUCAGUUUGUCAAAUACCCCAAGUGCGGCACAUGCCUAGCAGCUCCAGGCCAGGGCAGUUGGGAUACAACAAACACUAUCAACUGGAAAAAAGAACACAUGGCAAAUACCAACUAAGCUCUCACAAGUUAUUUUAGGUAACUGUGAGAUAAUGUAAGCAUUGUAUCUGAGGUUAUUAGUGGAAAAGUCAGAUAGCCCUGGAAGCCACAGCCCUGGGUUAUGUACAUAUAUUGUAGGAGCCUGAGGGGGGCACAAUAGUCUUGAAAAGGUAUCCAGGGCCCAGGGAUGAAAUGCUACCUGAUUCAUUACUUUUUUCCCCCUUCAUUUUCCCCUUCCAGAGUCUCCCAGCAAGGACACCAGAAGUCUCACACAACCAUCAUGGCAGGGUUUAGAAACCCAUUUUUCUGACACUCAGCCUUGGCUGUAAACACACUUUGACCUUACCUAUCUCUCUUCUUUUCCUCAUGCUUUUUCUCCUUGUGAGAACACCAUCUCCAUUUCUUCUUGCCUAUUCAAUUUCUUCCCAUAUUUCCUGGCCCAGGCAAAGUUUAGUCUCUCCAGGGACUUUUGAAAGUCAACCUAGACUUUUCUUUCUUCAUUCUCAAAUCACUUCUUGCCUGGGUCCUUGUAUGUACCUUUUUAUCUCCUACUGCCCAAUGACAUUGCUUGAAUUGUUAGUGAACUUUUCUGGAAGAUAUUUUUUUUAAAUUUCCCACUAGGUUGUGUACUUCUAGAGAACAAGAUUGUGUUUCCUUGAUUGCUGUCUCUUUAUUUCAUCCCUACCCCACAGGGUUGUGAUUACAGAAAACACUCAAUAAAUGUUUACUGACUGAUUCACUUUCUACUAGUUCACUAUUUGUUAGCCUUUGGGACACAUACCACCCAGACCUUUUAUGAAGAAAAAAAUUAAAUUAUGGUCACUACAAUGCUAUAAGGCAUGCAAAAUAUAGCCAACAUAAAUGGGUUUUCUUCCUGAUAAAUUGGAUCAAAGGCUACAAGAGGGGAUCCAAAAAAAAAAAAAAAAAAAAAAAAAAAGUAGGUUCAGAGGGCAAAUGUGUUUUGGAAUUACUUGGUAAUACAAAGUUAUACAGGUGCUUUAUUGCAGGAUAUUAUAGAGCCUUUAAUAUUCUAAUGUUGCAUUAGAAAUCUCCAAGAGCUAUUGAAUGAAACAUUUCCCAUACCUAUUUGAUUGUGAUAUUUUUCCUGUGGGCCAUCUCUUGGAUCUACUAUUCCAUGGAACAAAAUUUGAAAAACUGCCCUAGAGGAACUUCAUACUUUCCCUCUCUUCUGGAGAUCUUCUCUUUUUACUCCUCUACGUUUCCCCCGACCAGCCACCUACCUAAUACAGGUCCUGUGUUAUCACCCCAUUUUUGUUUAUUCUUAUCCUGAAGUUUUGGGGUAGCUCUAUACCUAGGACUCUUUUACUGGCUUGUCAUGUAUGAAAAAACAAAAGAUCAGUUUGGGAACACAGCUGAUCUCUAGAAGUCUCUCUGUUGCAAUGAAUAUAUUCUCCUAGCAGUUCACAGAUCUGAAUCCAGACUCUGUUUUACCAUUUACUUGAUGUGUUCGAUUUAAGACAAGUCACUCUUUUUGGGGGAGCUCCAUUUCCUUAUUUGUAUCAUGGGAAAGUUAGAAUCAACAAUCUCUAAGCUCUCCAAGACAAGAGACUCAAAUAUUCCUGGGUGUCCAUAGCUUCUAUGGAGGGGGUAGUCCCUGAUUUGGGGGUCCUUUUAACAAGGGACGCGCAACUAGGAUUCUCUUCUCAACUUCAGUAAUUUCUUUCUCUAAAGGUCGUAGGAAUAAAUAAUGAAUGUUUUCAAAUGCUGUGGGGUCUGGACACAGAGCUGUUUCAUGAAGGAAGCUGAGGUUUCCACUGGGUGGGGACCCUGUUUUAGAGAACUGCAAGCAUGAUGGGGAAGAAAAACUUGCUCCUUUCGCAAGCUAUGUAAAGCUGGCAUCGGGGAUGAGGAAAAUGCUGAGGUUUUUACCAUGGACUUGGCAGGUUAGUAGUGAUGAAGUGGAGGACUCCUCCUUGUUCACUUGUGUGUGAUAUUUUUACUUCUGCACUCAUCCCAAAGGAGAGUAGCUCCUGGUGAAAUCUGAGCUGACCUUGAGGUUGCAUUGGAAACAAAAAUGGCAACAUGUCAGCUUCUUUGAAGAAGGGACAAAUUGAUUUAAUAUGAAUUAUAUGAGGGAGGGAAAGCAGUGUUGGCCUGUCCCAGAACAGGUCCCCACAGAAGAGACUGAUUUAAAGGUAUAUGCAUGUGCACACAUGUACACACACAUGCACUCUCUCUCUCCUCUCUCUUUCUCUUAUUCUCUACUCCUGUUUGAGGAGAAAGACUUCUUUUCUCUGAACCCCACUCCACAUUGUAAGACAUUGUAAGAAGGGACCAGGAGAUAGGGAUGACCUAUGAAGAAUACAAGUAUUCCAAAAUUUUUAAUAUUCCAAAGGUGAAACUCCUUGAGGGUGGUACAUUCAUACUUUGGAAAGAAGAAGAACCCUUUAUCUCUGCAUUCACAGUCUUCUGAGACAGGAUAAGAGCUCAUUGGUUUUAAAUUGACUUCGGAAGAAUCAUCCAGGUGGAGCUAGAAGGGAAUAAUGGAAGGCACUUAAGUAGUAUUUUACCAAAAAUUUAUUGUAUUCUAGCUAGACCCACCUUUGA